rnacentral:rRNA from 1 species
CGCUAUCACUCCUACGGGGAGGCAGCAGUGGGGAAUAUUGCACAAUGGGCGCAAGCCUGAUGCAGCCAUGCCGCGUGUAUGAAGAAGGCCUUCGGGUUGUAAAGUACUUUCAGCAGUGAGGAAGGCAGGUACGUUAAUAGCGUGCUUGUUUGACGUUAGCUGCAGAAGAAGCACCGGCUAACUCCGUGCCAGCAGCCGCGGUAAUACGGAGGGUGCGAGCGUUAAUCGGAAUUACUGGGCGUAAAAGCGCAUGCAGGUGGUUUGUUAAGUCAGAUGUGAAAGCCCGGGGCUCAACCUCGGAAUUGCAUUUGAAACUGGCAGACUAGAGUACUGUAGAGGGGGUAGAAUUUCAGGUGUAGCGGUGAAAAUGCGUAGAGAUCUGAAGGAAUACCGGUGGCGAAGGCGGCCCCCUGGACAGAUACUGACACUCAGAUGCGAAAGCGUGGGGAGCAAACAGGAUUAGAUACCCUGGUAG